rnacentral:rRNA from 1 species
GAUGAACGCUGGCGGCGUGCCUAAUACAUGCAAGUCGAGCGAACAGACGAGGAGCUUGCUCCUCUGACGUUAGCGGCGGACGGGUGAGUAACACGUGUAUAACCUACCUAUAAGACUGGGAUAACUUCGGGAAACCGGAGCUAAUACCGGAUAAUAUAUUGAACCGCAUGGUUCAAUAGUGAAAGACGGUUUUGCUGUCACUUAUAGAUGGAUCCGCGCCGCAUUAGCUAGUUGGUAAGGUAACGGCUUACCAAGGCAACGAUGCGUAGCCGACCUGAGAGGGUGAUCGGCCACACGGGAACGGAGACACGGUCCAGAGUACUACGGGAGGCAGCAGUAGGGAAUAUUCCGCAAUGGGCGAAAGCAUGACGGAGCAACGCCGAGUGAGUGAUGAAGGUCUUCGGAUCGUAAAACUCUGUUAUUAGGGAAGAAAAAAUGUGUAAGUAAAUAUGCACGUCUUGACGGUACCUAAUCAGAAAGCAACGGCUAACUACGUG